UGUGAGCUGGACACUGGUGUUGAGUGUGUGUGCUGUGUGUGUUCUCCUCUCCUCACUCCUCUCCUCCAUCUGUGUGUACUGCCUCUGCACACACACCACUUAAGGUUCUGAAAAGAGAGGAGGAGAGCCGCUCACUGUAAAUGACUUUCAGGUACAUCAGUGUGAGAGGAGUGUAAACGGAGAGUUCUGUUGUCACACUGAAGUCUUUUACACACUUCAGAAACCAACAAUCACAUCAUAUUAAACACACACACACAC